GAAAAAAGAAGAACAAUAAAAGAGUUUCAUCAACACUACCGCCGUAUCUGCGUCUCUUCGUCUCUCGUACUCUCUUCAACUCGGGUGCUCCAGUGAUUAAUUGGCGGGCUCCGGGAGCUGAGAAGAGAUGAAUUGAGAGGAGGAGUGGAGUAGAACCGGGGCGCCAAAUGUCAUCCGUCAAAAAAUUCUUUCUUCUUCUCCGCGUCCGUGAAAUGACGACGGUGCGGAAAAUAAGAAGAGAGUAAUUUUUUGCUCUUUUUCUCUCUCAUUCUCACUCUCUAU
ensembl:ncRNA T14B4.17 ncRNA